CCUACGGGUGGCAGCAGUGGGGAAUCUUCCACAAUGGGCGAAAGCCUGAUGGAGCAACGCCGCGUGAGUGAAGAAGGUCUUCGGGUCGUAAAACCCUGUUGUUAGAGAAGAAAGUGCGUGAGCGUAACUGUUCACGUUUCGACGAUAUCUAACCAGAAAGCCCCGGCUAACUACGUGCAAGCAGCCGCGGUAAUACGUAGGUGGCAAGCGUUAUCCGGAUUUAUUGGGCGUAACGGGAACGCAGGCGGUCUUGUAAGUCUGAUGUGAAAGCCGUCGGCUUAACCGGAGUAGUGCAUUGGAAACUGGGAGACUUGAGUGCAGAAGAGGAGAGCGGAACUCCAUGUGUAGCGGUGAAAUGCGUAGAUAUAUGGAAGAACACCAGUGGCGAAAGCGGCUUACUGGUCUGUAACUGACGCUGAGGUUCGAAAGCGUGGGGAGCAAACAGGAUUAGAUACCCGUGUAGUC
rnacentral:rRNA from 1 species